UACGGGGGGAGCAAGCGUUGUUCGGAUUUACUGGGCGUAAAGGGCGCGUAGGCGGCCAGCACAAUUCAGUUGUGAAAUCUCCGAGCUUAACUCGGAAAGGUCAACUGAUACUGUGCGGCUAGAGUGCGGAAGGGGCAACUGGAAUUCUUGGUGUAGCGGUGAAAUGCGUAGAUAUCAAGAGGAACACCUGCGGCGAAGGCGGGUUGCUGGGCCGACACUGACGCUGAUGCGCGAAAGCCAGGGGAGCGAACGGG
rnacentral:rRNA from 1 species